GCCCCUUGGCGGGCGGUUACCGGCGGGAACGCGCAGGGGCCGCCGCUGCCAGGGGGCGCUGUGGUGGUUACCCCGAAAGGAACCGGUGUUACCCACUGGGUGCGGCGCUGGUGGCAGCGUCUGCACUGGAGCAUCCUUAUGGGGGCCGUGGUCCAGUUCCUUGGUUCUCUGGGACGUAACUUCAAGUUUUGUCUGCUACAGGCAGCGCCUGGCCAAAACACAGAGGGUUGGUUGGUUGGUUUUUAAUAGCUUUGAGUAUGGAGAGUGUCGAGCAACCAAGAAGCGCUGCUCUCCAUCUAAGGCACGUGGAUUAUCCCAGGUGACCUGCAUUUCAGAGCCAUAAGCAGCCAUUUCCCACCUGCCCUCCAUUUCUACCUCAGGAGAGGAUGGCAGAGCUCAGUACAUGCUUUAGCUUCAGCCAUGACUUACAACGCUUUGUUCUCAACCAAAGGCAGAAGUGACUUGUGAAGAGCUAGUCUGUACUCCAAGGCACUAGUCAGUUCUAGUGGAGAGAACGGUGGCUAUAUCCCUAGGCCUCAGUUUAAUCAGCAGCUGAGAGGACUGUUUGAUUACUAAUAGAAGAGAUGGAGUGGUGUUGAUUGUGUUUAUCCCCAGCGUCUAGAUUGCUGAUGAUUUCUGAGAGAUUAGAAGUCUUAUACUACUGUUCUUUCAAAUUCUGAAGAAUCCAGCUGUCCAGAAUUCAUACUUUGUUCAUGAGAAUAGAAACCGAGAAAUCUCUGAAGGAAGUUCAGAGAGCCAGUUCUGUAAUGAAAUAUAGAAAGAUAAAAAUUGCCAUUGAAAUCUUACACUUAAACACAUGUGAAAGUGUGUGCGAGACCUGGUAGACUGAUGGCUGUUUCUUAGGAAUUGGUCAUAAAUAUGUCGAAUCCUGUUUAGAAAGGAGUUUUUUUAAAAAAAUAAUCUAUUAAUAAAUUCAGUAGUGACUUGAAAAGUG